GCAAGGUGCUGCUCUUGCCCACACUGCCUUGGUUAUGGAAUCCCAAAAAGCUGACAUGGACACUGCCAUGGGAAGGUUUCUCAGACUACGCAGAGAUCAAAUCCUGGAGGGAAUUAACUGCUUGUUAGAAAUGGGAGGAAGGCUCCAGCUGCAGGUAUUGAAUUCAUCUCAGAUUGCUGCUAGCUCGUUAAAACUGGAGGAGAACACAGAACUCAUGUGUCUGCUUCUGGCUCAGAAACCUAAAGGACAGAGAAUUCUUCAAGAGAGUUACAGCCUGAUGGAUGUCCCAAGAAGCAUCUCCCAUCCCUCCUCACCAGAUAACCUUUCAGAACUUCUUUCCAUGUCAACUUUGGACCUCUGACAUCAUUCCUAAAGGGGCAGUGCUGAUAAGAAUUCAUGACCUGCACCUCCUGGUCUGGGUGCUGCAGCUGUUGCUCAAGAGCAGACAAGAGGACAGACAGUAAAA